CAUUUAGAGGAAGUAAAAGUCGUAACAAGGUUUCCGUAGGUGAACCUGCGGAAGGAUCAUUACAGAAUAAACCUGAUGAGUUGUAGCUGGCCCACUCACAUGGGCAAGUGCUCGCUUGUCAUUUUUAUCUAUCCACCAUGUGCACUAUGCGUAGGCCUGAGGAAUUUUUAUUCAACCCGAGUUCGCUUUGGUUGUUGGGAAUCUGCCAUUGAAAUACUGGCUUUUUCUGACUUCAGUGCCUAUGAUUUAUUUAAAUACACCAAUGUAUGUUUUAAGAACGCUCUACUAGGCCGCUAAAGCCUAUAAAUUUAAUACAACUUUCAGCAACGGAUCUCUUGGCUCUCGCAUCGAUGAAGAACGCAGCGAAAUGCGAUAAGUAAUGUGAAUUGCAGAAUUCAGUGAAUCAUCGAAUCUUUGAACGCACCUUGCGCUCCUUGGUAUUCCGAGGAGCAUGCCUGUUUGAGUGUCAUUUAAUUCUCAAUCUCUACAAACUUGUGUUGUUAGCAGAUUGGAGGUGGGGGCUUUGUGGGUGUAUCUAUUAUAUCCACUCCCCUAAAAAUUAUUAGCUGGAAUGCCUUUGCAAAACCAACUAUCAGUAUGAUAAUUAUCUACUCUGAUGUUGUUGUGAAGGGAAUCUGCUUUCAAACCGUCGUUUCGACACUUUGAAUCCAUUUGACCUCAAAUCAGGUAGGACUACCCGCUGAACUUAA
rnacentral:rRNA from 1 species